rnacentral:rRNA from 1 species
GACGGGAGGGGAUGGCUCCGCGGCCCAUCAGGUAGACGGCGGGGUGACGGCCCACCGUGCCGACAACGGGUAGCCGGGUUGAGAGACCGACCGGCCAGAUUGGGACUGAGACACGGCCCAGACUCCUACGGGAGGCAGCAGUGGGGAAUCUUGCGCAAUGGGGGGAACCCUGACGCAGCGACGCCGCGUGCGGGACGGAGGCCUUCGGGUCGUAAACCGCUUUCAGCAGGGAAGAGUCAAGACUGUACCUGCAGAAGAAGCCCCGGCUAACUACGUGCCAGCAGCCGCGGUAAUACGUAGGGGGCGAGCGUUAUCCGGAUUCAUUGGGCGUAAAGCGCGCGUAGGCGGCCCGGCAGGCCGGGGGUUGAAGCGGGGGGCUCAACCCCCCGAAGCCCCCGGAACCUCCGCGGCUUGGGUCCGGUAGGGGAGGGUGGAACACCCGGUGUAGCGGUGGAAUGCGCAGAUAUCGGGUGGAACACCGGUGGCGAAGGCGGCCCUCUGGGCCGAGACCGACGCUGAGGCGCGAAAGCUGGGGGAGCGAACAGGAUUAGAUACCCUGGUAGUCCCAGCCGUAAACGAUGGACGCUAGGUGUGGGGGGACGAUCUCCCCGUG